ACUCCUACGGGAGGCAGCAGUGGGGAAUAUUGCACAAUGGGCGCAAGCCUGAUGCAGCGACGCCGCGUGGGGGAUGACGGCCUUCGGGUUGUAAACUCCUUUCGCUAGGGACGAAGCUUUUUGUGACGGUACCUAGAUAAGAAGCACCGGCUAACUACGUGCCAGCAGCCGCGGUAAUACGUAGGGUGCGAGCGUUGUCCGGAAUUACUGGGCGUAAAGGGCUCGUAGGUGGUUUGUCGCGUCGUCUGUGAAAUUCCGGGGCUUAACUCCGGGCGUGCAGGCGAUACGGGCAUAACUUGAGUACUGUAGGGGUAACUGGAAUUCCUGGUGUAGCGGUGAAAUGCGCAGAUAUCAGGAGGAACACCGAUGGCGAAGGCAGGUUACUGGGCAGUUACUGACGCUGAGGAGCGAAAGCAUGGGUAGCGAACAGGAUUAGAUACCCUGUAGACAUCAC
rnacentral:rRNA from 1 species